UUAUUUAUAUUUUCUUACAUUGCGCACAUUCUCAUUCACUUUAUAUUUUUUAUAUUUAUAUUUCCCUUGCAUUGAUAGCAUGAUGCAGUAAGUCAGUAACAAUGGGAGAUUCCAUUUUGGAUUCCAUGGGUACAUGCACACAGACACAACACAACACACGUCAUUUACAUUCCUAAAACAAAAACCAAUGCAUCAUUGUAACAGUAUUUUUGGUUGCAAACAUACAAUUAUGGACCAAUCCAUCUCCCAUUAGGAUGCUAAAGUCUAUAAUACAG
rnacentral:lncRNA from 1 species